GACGAACGCUGGCGGCGUGCUUAACACAUGCAAGUCGAACGGAAAGGCCCUGCUUUUGUGGGGUGCUCGAGUGGCGAACGGGUGAGUAACACGUGAGUAACCUGCCCUUGACUUUGGGAUAACUUCAGGAAACUGGGGCUAAUACCGGAUAGGAGCUCCUGCUGCAUGGUGGGGGUUGGAAAGUUUCGGCGGUUGGGGAUGGACUCGCGGCUUAUCAGCUUGUUGGUGGGGUAGUGGCUUACCAAGGCUUUGACGGGUAGCCGGCCUGAGAGGGUGACCGGCCACAUUGGGACUGAGAUACGGCCCAGACUCCUACGGGAGGCAGCAGUGGGGAAUAUUGCACAAUGGGCGGAAGCCUGAUGCAGCAACGCCGCGUGCGGGAUGACGGCCUUCGGGUUAUAGACCGCUUUCGCCUGUGACGAAGCGUGAGUGACGGUAAUGGGUAAAGAAGCACCGGCUAACUACGUG
rnacentral:rRNA from 1 species